rnacentral:ribozyme from 13 species
CACAUGCAAAAAAAAAAAAAAAAAAAAAAAAAAAAAAAAAAAAAAAA